rnacentral:rRNA from 1 species
AACGAACGCUGGCGGCAUGCCUAACACAUGCAAGUCGAACGAGACCUUCGGGUCUAGUGGCGCACGGGUGCGUAACGCGUGGGAACCUUCCCUUAGGUUCGGAAUAACUCCCCGAAAGGGGUGCUAAUACCGGAUAAUGUCUUCGGACCAAAGAUUUAUCGCCUUUGGAUGGGCCCGCGUUGGAUUAGCUAGUUGGUAGGGUAAAAGCCUACCAAGGCGACGAUCCAUAGCUGGUCUGAGAGGAUGAUCAGCCACACUGGGACUGAGACACGGCCCAGACUCAUACGGGAGGCAGCAGUGGGGAAUAUUGGACAAUGGGCGAAAGCAUGAUCCCGCAAUGCCGCGUGAGUGAUGAAGGCAUUAGGGUUGUAAAGCUCUUUUAACCGGGAUGAUAAUGACAGUACCGGGAGAAUAAGCACCGGCUAACUCCGUG